AAAUUUGAGAGAGAAUCGGCAGGAGAGAGAAGGGAGAAAGAAGAAGAAGAGAAAAGAGGGAAAUUAGAAGGGAAAUAGAAAGGAAUUGAAGGGAAUAAGUUUAAAGAUAAUCCUGAUAUUCUACCGGCGGAACGUCAGUAGGAUUUUCUUCGAUAUCAGCUUUGAGUUUUGUUGCUUUCGAGUCAGGCUUAUAGCUUGAUAGCAGGUCAUUUUGUUGGACCUUCAGAACCUGCUUUUUGGUUGUACUUUGUACCUUUUCUUUGUGUCUAGUUAGUGCUCCAAAACUCUGAACUUAUAUAAACUCUUGUA